rnacentral:rRNA from 1 species
AGUGAACGCUGGCGGUAGGCCUAACACAUGCAAGUCGAACGGCAGCACAGUAAGAGCUUGCUCUUACGGGUGGCGAGUGGCGGACGGGUGAGGAAUACAUCGGAAUCUACUUUUUCGUGGGGGAUAACGUAGGGAAACUUACGCUAAUACCGCAUACGACCUACGGGUGAAAGCAUGGGAUCUUCGGACCUUGCGCGAUUGAAUGAGCCGAUGUCGGAUUAGUUAGUUGGCGGGGUAAAGGCCCACCAAGGCGACGAUCCGUAGCUGGUCUGAGAGGAUGAUCAGCCACACUGGAACUGAGACACGGUCCAGACUCCUACGGGAGGCAGCAGUGGGGAAUAUUGGACAAUGGGCGCAAGCCUGAUCCAGCCAUACCGCGUGGGUGAAGAAGGCCUUCGGGUUGUAAAGCCCUUUUGUUGGGAAAGAAAAGCAGCAGGUUAAUACCCCGCUGUUCUGACGGUACCCAAAGAAUAAGCACCGGCUAACUUCGUG